GAGCAGGACAUUCUUUAUGGUUUGGAUAGAUGAAAAGGAGGUCACAUAAUGACUCAGGAGGCAAAGUCCCUCAAUUUGCCAGCUGUGUGUCUGUGUGUCUGUGUGCUGUGUGUUGGUCCUUGAUUUGGAGGGUCUGAACUAAUUAUUUCCCUCAAAACUAGUCCUUAUCUCAUGUGCCUACCACUUCUGUGAUAGUCCCUGCACUUACAAAGAGGGUGCUUGUGAUAUGAGAGGGAGGCAGGGAAGUGCUGGGCAGAGAAGGCUGGGGUCCCUGGCUAGGGCUCCACCCUCAGGCCGGUGUCCACGGACCUAGGUGAAGACAGGAAUUUCUGUUUUUGCGCUCAAAUGUUGCAUUUUCUAAGACCACCCUGGCCUGCCACUCCCUGCAUCCUGAGAUCCUAUCAAAAUCCUGAGCUCCUAGUGGGUACACACACAAGCAGAUAAAUGUUGAAGGGAACACAUCGGCAGAAGAACAUACAGAUACUGACAGGCCAUCCACGGCAGAACAAUGUGGAUUCCAAGGGAAAUUGGGCCGAGGGUGGUCAGAGGAGAGCCCAGCUGCUGAGUGGCCUGUCUCCAGGGGAAGACCACCUUCCCACUCCAUCCCCCUUCUGGCUUCCCAUCCACCUGCUGAGAGCUACCUCCACCAUUCAGUAAACCUUGGACUUAUUCUCCAAGCCCAUAUAUAAACUGAUUUUUCCAGUACACUAGGGCAACCCCGGGAUACAGAAAGCCCUCUGUCCUUGCAGUAAGACAGAGGGUCUAAUUGAGCUGAUUAACACAAGAUGAGCGCAGAUGGCUAAGCUGAAAAAGGACACUGUAACACACGCCCGCUGGUGCUUCAGGAGCUGUAAACACUCAACCCUAGAUGUUACCAUGAGGUUGGAGCCCACGCUCCCCACAACCUGCCCAUAUGCAUGCUCCCCCUAGGGGUUUGAGCUGCAGGGCCUUGAAGAAGCAAGCCACUCCCCCUGUCACACACCCUGUAAGCAGAAUAAGGAAACUCUUCCUGUUUCAACUGGGGCGUUGCCUGGGAUCCCGGAAGGAAUUGAAACAACCGUCAGAGGCCCAAGCCCAUGAACCAGACCCACCUCUUUUCAAACCAGAUGACCUAGUGCUAAUAAAGGUACGCCCUUCCCUUUCUCUCUCUAGAGGCCCAGAUUGGGAGGGAACUUACGCUAU
rnacentral:lncRNA from 1 species